rnacentral:rRNA from 1 species
CCUACGGGAGGCUGCAGUGGGGAAUAUUGCACAAUGGGGGAAACCCUGAUGCAGCGACGCCGCGUGAGUGAAGAAGUAAUUCGUUAUGUAAAGCUCUAUCAGCAGGGAAGAAAAUGACGGUACCUGAGUAAGAAGCCCCGGCUAACUACGAGCCAGCAGCCGCGGGAAGACGUAGGGGGCAAGCGUUAUCCGGAUUUACUGGGUGUAAAGGGAGCGUAGACGGCAGUGCAAGUCAGGAGUGAAAGGCGGGGGCUCAACCCCCGGACUGCUCUGGAAACUGUACGGCUGGAGUGCAGGAGAGGUAAGUGGAAUUCCUAGUGUAGCGGUGAAAUGCGUAGAUAUUAGGAGGAACACCAGUGGCGAAGGCGGCUUACUGAACUGUAACUGACGUUGAGGCUCGAAAGCGUGGGGAGCAAACAGGAUUAGAUACCCUUGUAGUC